UACGUAGGUGGCAAGCGUUGUCCGGAUUUACUGGGCGUAAAGAGCGCGCAGGCGGUCGUUCAAGUCGCGUGUGAAAGCCCCCGGCUCAACUGGGGAGGGUCACGCGAUACUGAUCGACUGGAAGGCAGGAGAGGGUAGUGGAAUUCCCGGUGUAGUGGUGAAAUGCGUAGAUAUCGGGAGGAACACCAGUGGUGAAGGCGGCAUCCUGGACCGAGAUUGACGCUGAGGCGCGAAAGCCAGGGGAGCAAACGGG
rnacentral:rRNA from 1 species